rnacentral:rRNA from 1 species
UUCAUAGAGUGUAAAGGCAUAAGGGAGCUUGACUGCGAGACCUACAAGUCGAGCAGGGUCGAAAGACGGACUUAGUGAUCCGGUGGUUCCGCAUGGAAGGGCCAUCGCUCAACGGAUAAAAGCUACCCCGGGGAUAACAGGCUUAUCUCCCCCAAGAGUUCACAUCGACGGGGAGGUUUGGCACCUCGAUGUCGGCUCAUCGCAUCCUGGGGCUGUAGUCGGUCCCAAGGGUUGGGCUGUUCGCCCAUUAAAGCGGUACGCGAGCUGGGUUCAGAACGUCGUGAGACAGUUCGGUCCCUAUCCGUCGUGGGCGUAGGAAAUUUGAGAGGAGCUGUCCUUAGUACGAGAGGACCGGGAUGGACAUACCUCUGGUGUACCAGUUGUCGUGCCAACGGCAUAGCUGGGUAGCUAUGUGUGGACGGGAUAAGUGCUGAAAGCAUCUAAGCAUGAAGCCCCCCUCAAGAUGAGAUU